rnacentral:rRNA from 1 species
AGAGUUUGAUCCUGGCUCAGAAUCAACGCUGGCGGCGUGCCUAACACAUGCAAGUCGCACGAGAAAGUGGAGCAAUCCAUGAGUAAAGUGGCGCACGGGUGAGUAACACGUGAAUGAUCUACCUCCGAGUGGGGAAUAACUGAGAGAAAUCUUAGCUAAUACCGCAUAAUACCCACGGGUCAAAGCAGCAAUGCGCUUGGAGAGGAGUUCGCGGCCGAUUAGUUAGUUGGCGGGGUAAUGGCCCACCAAGACGAUGAUCGGUAUCCGGCCUGAGAGGGCGCACGGACACACUGGAACUGAAACACGGUCCAGACUCCUACGGGAGGCAGCAGUGGGGAAUUUUGCGCAAUGGGGGAAACCCUGACGCAGCAACGCCGCGUGGAGGAUGAAAUCCCUUGGGAUGUAAACUCCUUUCGAUAGGGAAGAUUAUGACGGUACCUAUAGAAGAAGCCCCGGCUAACUUCGUGCCAGCAGCCGCGGUAAUACGAGGGGGGCAAGCGUUGUUCGGAAUUAUUGGGCGUAAAGGGUGCGUAGGCGGUUUGACAAGUCUGAUGUGAAAUCUAUGGGCUCAACCCAUAGUCUGCAUCGGAAACUGUCGGGCUUGAGUAUGGGAGAGGUGAGUGGAAUUUCCGGUGUAGCGGUGAAAUGCGUAGAUAUCGGAAGGAACACCUGUGGCGAAAGCGGCUCACUGGACCAUUACUGACGCUGAGGCACGAAAGCUAGGGGAGCAAACAGGAUUAGAUACCCUAGUAGUCC